GUCGUCAGAUCGCCCAGGAAGAGGCGGGUGCUGCGCGCACCCAGCGCGGUGGCCGCGAGGUAGCCCCUGAGCUUCUACAGCGUAUUGCCGAUU
rnacentral:tRNA from 1 species